rnacentral:rRNA from 1 species
CCUACGGGAGGCUGCAGUGGGGAAUAUUGGACAAUGGGGGCAACCCUGAUCCAGCCAUGCCGCGUGUGUGAAGAAGGCCCUCGGGUUGUAAAGCACUUUCAGUGAGGAAGAACGCCUGGUGGUUAAUACCCAUCGGGAAAGACAUCACUCACAGAAGAAGCACCGGCUAACUCCGUGCCAGCAGCCGCGGUAAUACGGAGGGUGCGAGCGUUAAUCGGAAUUACUGGGCGUAAAGCGCGCGUAGGUGGCUUGAUAAGCCGGUUGUGAAAGCCCCGGGCUCAACCUGGGAACGGCAUCCGGAACUGUCAAGCUAGAGUGCAGGAGAGGAAGGUAGAAUUCCCGGUGUAGCGGUGAAAUGCGUAGAGAUCGGGAGGAAUACCAGUGGCGAAGGCGGCCCUCUGGACUGACACUGACACUGAGGUGCGAAAGCGUGGGUAGCAAACAGGAUUAGAUACCCCUGUAGUC